rnacentral:misc_RNA from 1 species
AACGCACAUUGCGCCCCCUGGCAUUCCGGGGGGCAUGCCUGUUCGAGCGUCAUUAACACCACUCAAGCUCAGCUUGGUAUUGGGUCACGCCAGCAAUGGUGAACCUCAAACUCAGUGGCGGCACCGUUGGGUCCCGAGCGUAGUAAAUAUCUCGCUGAGGGUUCCCUCCGGUUGGCGACCAACAACCCAAUUUUCUAAGGUUGACCUCGGAUCAGGUAGGAAUACCCGCUGAACUUAA